AACACCCAGCUCAGGGAUCAUUUCUAUAGUUUGUUACUAGAGAAAUUUCUCUGACUGUGUAGAGCACCCGAAACCACGAGGACGAGACGUAGUGUUCCCUCCUGAGAGUGAAGCCGGCUCUAGGUGCUGCUUUUCUGUGGCUGUCUCUUGCCAUUGAUGAUCACUCUUCUCUUCCUUAUGGAAGGGUGAGAGGGAGGGUCAACAUAGCAUAA
rnacentral:snoRNA from 1 species